rnacentral:rRNA from 1 species
CAAACCGACACAGGUGGUCAGGUAGAGAAUACCAAGGCGCUUGAGAGAACUCGGGUGAAGGAACUAGGCAAAAUGGUGCCGUAACUUCGGGAGAAGGCACGCUGACACGUAGGUGAAGUGAUUUACUCAUGGAGCUGAAGUCAGUCGAAGAUACCAGCUGGCUGCAACUGUUUAUUAAAAACACAGCACUGUGCAAACACGAAAGUGGACGUAUACGGUGUGACGCCUGCCCGGUGCCGGAAGGUUAAUUGAUGGGGUCAGCGCAAGCGAAGCUCCUGAUCGAAGCCCCGGUAAACGGCGGCCGUAACUAUAACGGUCCUAAGGUAGCGAAAUUCCUUGUCGGGUAAGUUCCGACCUGCACGAAUGGCGUAAUGAUGGCCAGGCUGUCUCCACCCGAGACUCAGUGAAAUUGAACUCGCUGUGAAGAUGCAGUGUACCCGCGGCAAGACGGAAAGACCCCGUGAACCUUUACUAUAGCUUGACACUGAACAUUGAGCCUUGAUGUGUAGGAUAGGUGGGAGGCUUUGAAGUGUGGACGCCAGUCUGCAUGGAGCCGACCUUGAAAUACCACCCUUUAAUGUUUGAUGUUCUAACGUGGACCCGUUACCCGGGUUGCGGACAGUGUCUGGUGGGUAGUUUGACUGGGGCGGUCUCCUCCUAAAGAGUAACGGAGGAGCACGAAGGUUGGCUAAUCCUGGUCGGACAUCAGGAGGUUAGUGCAAUGGCAUAAGCCAGCUUGACUGCGAGCGUGACGGCGCGAGCAGGUGCGAAAGCAGGUCAUAGUGAUCCGGUGGUUCUGAAUGGAAGGGCCAUCGCUCAACGGAUAAAAGGUACUCCGGGGAUAACAGGCUGAUACCGCCCAAGAGUUCAUAUCGACGGCGGUGUUUGGCACCUCGAUGUCGGCUCAUCACAUCCUGGGGCUGAAGUAGGUCCCAAGGGUAUGGCUGUUCGCCAUUUAAAGUGGUACGCGAGCUGGGUUUAGAACGUCGUGAGACAGUUCGGUCCCUAUCUGCCGUGGGCGCUGGAGAACUGAGGGGGGCUGCUCCUAGUACGAGAGGACCGGAGUGGACGCAUCACUGGUGUUCGGGUUGUCAUGCCAAUGGCACUGCCCGGUAGCUAAAUGCGGAAGAGAUAAGUGCUGAAAGCAUCUAAGCACGAAACUUGCCCCGAGAUGAGUUCUCCCUGAGACUUAGAGUCUCCUGAAGGAACGUUGAAGACGACGACGUUGAUAGGCCGGGUGUGUAAGCGCAGCGAUGCGUUGAGCUAACCGGUACUAAUGAACCGUGAGGCUUAACCUUACAA